UCUUCACCUGCUGUGGCACAGGCACAUCGAAGUGUUCGAUUGAGGGAAGAGAAAGGGCCAAGACCCAGGCUCAAUCAAAUAAUCUUCGGAUUCAGCAAGCUACACACCUCAUGACCGCCACCGGCACCCCGUCGCUCCCCCGUAUCUCCGGCGACUGGCCUCCGUUCCGUCGGUGUGCGACCUGGCGAGUCACGGGCGCUCGCCCCUGCCGGCGCCGCCACGCUUGGUAGCACGCGGAUGGUAGGCUGAGGUCCUCUAGGCAGCAGUGCCACUCCUGGGCAACAAAGCGAGCUGGAAUGGCCGACCGCCGCCGUCGCGCUCCACUGCUGGCUUUGCCCGACUGAGUCGAUCCCGGCCACCAGCCUACAGCGGCAUGUCUCGAUGCUUCAUGAAUGUUUGGAAGGCUCCCUCUUUCUCCUGAUCUCCCGAAUCCCUCUCCCACCUGAUUCAAUCCCCUUUCUAUCCGGCCAAUAAGAGGGGCACCCUCCAUAGCCGGGGUGGACAAGAUCGAUGAGCAAGCUCCUUCCCAUCCUCCAGUUCCUCUCUCUCUCUCUCUUUCUGGUUGAAACCGAGCACGCUCCAACGAGGUGGUCCACCGUAUUUCGCGCCUCGUCGUGCUGCAGAAAAUUCGAUCUCUUGUGCUGGAUGCUACUUCGGCGGUGCACCACGACGUGUGCUUGCAGGUGGGAAACAUGAGACCCCCCAGGUAAUUUUCCUCUCACGAAUCGCCACCCCAUCCUGGCAUCUUCUGCUUUGUCACCUUCGCCAUGGUCUGCCAGACUGGCACCAACAUGAUGGGUGCUUCAGUCAGCCUCUAUUGUGCUUAGAUGAAGCGACCUUAAGCGCUUCACAUCCCCACAGGAGGGGACAUGCGCAGGCUCGGAAUCGUCGCUGCUGCCUGUGGACUGGCUAUGGAGAAGACAGGGAGUACGCCUUGCAUCUGUUUGACAAAAUGGGUAGUUCACUGACAUGGUUGCUGGCCAGUAUUGUGCUGUUUUCUCACAGGUAUGUGGUGCAUGCUAUGGUCUAAAAUUUCCCCCAAACCGCUGGAUUAUGUUUUAGAGGAAUUCCAACACAUCUGAUUCCAUUGCCACAUUUGCAGUGACAUGAAUGAUUAUUUUAUGUGUUGUUCCCUUUCUUGAUCCAUACAUAUAACAAGUACGGUUGUUGCAUCAUGCAGGAAUUUUUUGGAGUGGUUUGUAAAUGAAAUUUGGUGCAGAAGCUUUCAUUUGUAUCUGUUUAUACAGAGCAAUGAAGAGCCUUUUUAUGCUGAAUAUUCUUUGAGGUAGAAAUAUCACAGAGCAUAACUAGGAUAGUAUAUUUAGCAACCGUAAUUUGAAAUAAAAAAAAAAUUAGGUAGAAAUAUGUCGGAGCAUCAUCUUGAAAAGAUUGUCGACACACCUCCUUCGGCUUCCACUCGGUUGACUUUGGCAAAUAUACACUGCUUAGAAAAUCUAUAAUACUUAAAUUAUAGUUAUACUUAAAUUAUACUUCGAAUCGUUCUUCCUCAUUAUGGUGAUAAUAGGUUGUAUGGCCAUCAAGGGCUGUUCCCUGCAGAAUUCGUGUUGAAUUUGGGAAAGGACAAUUGAUUAUUUUUAUCGAAGUAUCAUAUUCAUUUUAGGUGGUAAUUUUAAUAAUUUGGCAAUCACCGUUGUGUCCGUUGCAAGUCAUUUGCAUAUUGAUACGGUGUGGGUUCGAAUUUAAUCUUGGUUUUCCAUGUAGAUAUGAUUCAUAUGCCUUAAACCUUGGAAAGGAGCUUAUGUGAACAGGUGCUAUUGGAAGUUUCUGUGCAUUUCAUCCUCCCGACCUUCCAAGUCCAUUGUUCCAUGAAAAGGUAUAGAUUCUGUAGAGUGGUGAAUGUUCAGGUAAUGGUCUAUACAAAUGCAAGUGAGCCUGUUGGGUAUACAUAUUUUGUAGUAGUCCAACUAUACAAAGAGCAACCUAGCUUGCACUUCAGAAGGUGGCUGAAUUCGUAGUUACUUCGAGGUUGCUAUUCUUCAGUCACUUUGAUAGUCAUAACAUUGAAAUGAUAAUACUACAUGAUUCUGCAUAUAGAUAUUUAAUGGGGUUUAUUUCAGCAGUGAUUCUGCUGCAAUAUUCAUGACUGUCAAGAACAGGAGGCUACCUUCUGAGUUCUGACUGCUCCGCGGGACGCUAUCAAUGGUUACAGCCUACAACAAGGUAUACAUAGACUGGAGAGGGAAGAGGGGUAUGAUAGUAGAGCUGAACCGGCAACUGGUAGGCUCUUGAGCGCCCCACCUGGGCGAUGCACGGCCAUGUGCGCUAGCGAGGAUACCUUCUGAAAGAGUAUUGCUUCUUAAUCCUAAGAAUGAGGCCAACCGAUUCCCAGAUCUCAGUUCUUUCCAAAAACAAAGCAGAGCUCGCUUCAGUUCUCGGCCUCCCCGUGUCAACCAAGAGCUCACCAUUAUGUUCUUAGCAAUUAGCAUCCAAAGAACUCGCCAUUUUCUACUCCGAAGAAGAAAGUGCCUUGCACGGACAUCCACAGGACAAGGCAACAAGAAGACCAUCCAUUCUAACUUGCUACUUUAUGUUCUCUGUUAAAAUUUAGUCAUGGGAAGUACGCCCUCUUAUGGACAAAGUAGGAUCGACACUCUAAAUGCACUCUCUAAGUAGGAUAAUCCUAUGAACUAUGUUAGCGAGACUAAAUAUAAAUUAGCACAAUCAGUUAAUCUUCA